CAGGACGAACGCUGGCGGCGUGCCUAAUACAUGCAAGUCGAACGGUCUUUCUAUGGAAGCUUGCUUCCGCUGAGAAGAUAGUGGCGAACGGGUGAGUAACACGUGGGUAACCUGCCCAUAAGAGGGGGGAUAACAUCCGGAAACGGGUGCUAAUACCGCAUAGUUUUCUUGAUCGCAUGAUCGGGAAAGGAAAGACGGCCUUUGUGCUGUCGCUUAUGGAUGGACCCGCGGCGUAUUAGUUAGUUGGUGAGGUAACGGCUCACCAAGACGAUGAUACGUAGCCGACCUGAGAGGGUGAUCGGCCACAUUGGGACUGAGACACGGCCCAAACUCCUACGGGAGGCAGCAGUAGGGAAUCUUCCGCAAUGGACGAAAGUCUGACGGAGCAACGCCGCGUGAGUGAAGAAAAGGUUUUCGGAUCGUAAAACUCUGUUGUCAGAGAAGAACAAGUUGGAGAGUAACUGCUCCAGCCUUGACGGUAUCUGACCAGAAAGCCACGGCUAACUACGUGCCAGCCGCGGC
rnacentral:rRNA from 1 species